CACUCCUACGGGAGGCAGCAGUGGGGAAUAUUGCACAAUGGGCGCAAGCCUGAUGCAGCCAUGCCGCGUGUAUGAAGAAGGCCUUCGGGUUGUAAAGUACUUUCAGCGGGGAGGAAGGCGAUAAGGUUAAUAACCUUGUUGAUUGACGUUACCCGCAGAAGAAGCACCGGCUAACUCCGUGCCAGCAGCCGCGGUAAUACGGAGGGUGCAAGCGUUAAUCGGAAUUACUGGGCGUAAAGCGCACGCAGGCGGUCUGUCAAGUCGGAUGUGAAAUCCCCGGGCUCAACCUGGGAACUGCAUUCGAAACUGGCAGGCUAGAGUCUUGUAGAGGGGGGUAGAAUUCCAGGUGUAGCGGUGAAAUGCGUAGAGAUCUGGAGGAAUACCGGUGGCGAAGGCGGCCCCCUGGACAAAGACUGACGCUCAGGUGCGAAAGCGUGGGGAGCAAACAGGAUUAGAAACCCGGGUAGUCCCAUGAU
rnacentral:rRNA from 1 species